rnacentral:rRNA from 1 species
UACGUAGGGUCCGAGCGUUGUCCGGAAUUAUUGGGCGUAAAGAGCUCGUAGGCGGUUUGUCGCGUCUGCUGUGAAAUCCCGAGGCUCAACCUCGGGUCUGCAGUGGGUACGGGCAGACUGGAGUGCGGUAGGGGAGAAUGGAAUUCCUGGUGUAGCGGUGGAAUGCGCAGAUAUCAGGAGGAACACCAACGGCGAAGGCAGCUCGCUGGGACGGUACUGACGCUGAGGCGCGAAAGCGUGGGGAGCGAACAGG